rnacentral:rRNA from 1 species
UACAGAGGUCCCAAGCGUUGUUCGGAUUCACUGGGCGUAAAGGGUGCGUAGGUGGCGGGGUAAGUCAGGUGUGAAAUUUCGGAGCUUAACUCCGAAACUGCAUUUGAUACUGCCUUGCUUGAGGACUGGAGAGGAGACUGGAAUUCACGGUGUAGCAGUGAAAUGCGUAGAGAUCGUGAGGAAGACCAGUGGCGAAGGCGGGUCUCUGGACAGUUCCUGACACUGAGGCACGAAGGCCAGGGGAGCAAACGGG